AAAAAAAAAAGACCACGACGGAUCGAUCGAGUUCCGAUGGCCCUCCACGACGGCGCGCUCUCCAUCUCCGGCGCCGCCCUCACCGCGCUCCUCCACCGCUGCGCCGCCGCCACCGGCGACUGCGACGGCCUCCUCUUCGGCCGCGUCUCCCACCGCCCCGCGGCGCCCGCCGCCCUCUCCGACUACGACGACCUCGCCGCCGCCCCGCCCGCCCCCGCGCUCUCCAUCUCCGUCUCCGGCCACUGCUCCCUCUCACACCCCUCCUCCCUCUCCGAUCCCCUCGGCCAAUUCCAGCCCCCCUCCUCGGAUCCCUCCUCCGCCGUCGGCUUCUUCUCCUCCCGCCGCCGCACCGCGCUCCGCCCCUCCAUGCGCGAGGUCGCCCUCGCCCACUCCCUCUCCAAGACCCUACAAGGCCGCACCACCGCCCACCCCCUCCUCUUCAUCCUCGUCUCCCCCUCCGCCUCCCCCAACUUCUCCACCCACUCCUACGACUACCGCGCCUUCCUCCUCCUCGCCUCCCGCCUCGUCCCGGCCUCGCUCACCGUCGUCAACGCCGGCCCCGGCUUCAGGGAUCAGUACCAUGCCUUCUCCCCGGAGUCUCCCAUGCCCUGCCUGCCAUCCUCGCCUGCGGCCACAGGUCACGCUCACACCAUUGGAGAACACAAGGCGGUCGAUGAAAUGGUCGACGGGUUUGGGAUCGGGAGGCUGCAAGGGAUCCUGGGCUCUGCGGCAGGGCAGGCGGCGGAGAUGUAUGACAUGUAUGCAGGGAUGCUCAGGAAGAUGGAGAAGCUUGCCAGGGAGGUGGAGAAGAGCAAUAUCCGUGUUCUCGAGCAGGCAAGGAACAUCAAGAUUUAAUAACAAAAAAAGGAACAGAGAAGCAAGGUUCUCAAUUCAAGCACGUGCAAUAAGAAUGACCCGAAAAUCUGAUAAGGCGAUACGAUCAUUGCAUAGUGCUGCACUAUCUUUGUCUUCCAAUCUUGGAGCCUGGAAAGAUGGCUUAUGCCAGGCGACACCAUAAAAUAGUUGUCUAGUGGUGGCAACUGGAGUCUGUGGUAAAACAACUCUGUAGGUCUGCAUCUUUUGUACUUCAUGGCAAGCAAAUGUAGUAAAUUGUGACUUGGAGUAAGAGAUCGAGGAAGUGGUGGUUGGCCUCCUUUUCUGGUUUCAGACUCAUAAUUUGUCACUCUCUGUUUGGAUUCUUACACUCACUGACCCCUGUGCAACACUUGGGGCCCUGUGAAAAUUCCCAAUGGCAGGAGUCGAAUUCCAAAAGUUAAGAAAAUCGGAACCUGCUGCUGAGGUACAGAUGUGCAGGAAUGGAAUAGGACCAAAGUGUUUGUUGGUCUUACUAAGGGUUACUCUAAGGCAUAUAUGAUGCCGGAGGUUUGUCCUCCAAGUUGGGAGCUGAUAGUGUGCAUUGGAGUGGCAUGCAUCGAGUAGGAACUAGGGGAUGGUGGAGUGUGUGUUGAAAGCAUGUGUUUGUGUGGAAGAAGGUGCAUGGCGCCUGAGGAUGGAUGAUAGAGCAAGAUGAGUCGGACAGAAACGGUUUUGUGUAUGGUAGCAGGUUGGUGUAAGUUUGAUGCAUGAAGCAUCAGCAUUAAUAUGAGUGGAGUAAUCAGUAAUGUAAUGCAAUCCUUGUUGGAGCUUUCCUAUCAGUCGUUGCUGAAGAAUUGGACGGAAAAGUGCUUUCGCUUGCUCACUACAUGCAAUGCUUUCAUGUACA